UGGGCCUUCUAAGAAACAGAAGUGUGUCUGC
rnacentral:piRNA from 1 species